UGCAGGUCCAGCAGGGCAGCCUGGCUAAUGGGCAGUAACUAGCUGAGCUUAGCCUGAAGAUGUGUCCCAGCUUGAUGUGAAGCCCAGCUCCUUCCCAACAAUGACAACAAGGGUGCCUGACCUGGAUGUGCCAGCACUUGUCUUGGCAAAAGCCAGUCUUGGAUCUUAAAACUGAAGAAAACUCCAGUGUGUUUGUGACUAGCUCAGCCUUUACCAGGCCUCUCGUCCUCCUGCCCCAGCCUGCCCCACAAGCCGAGUGGUGGGUGUGCUCUUGGGAGAUGCAGGAGAGGAGCACGACUCCCUUGCAAGCACGUGGCUAAUGCGUCGCUCAGGGAAUGGGAAGCGUGUGUAAAUGCAUGUGUCCUGCUGGCAGGGCAUGGCAGCUGCCACGAGCCAUGGGAGAGCUAACAGGGAACCACCGUUCACUUUGGUCUCGGUCUGUGCUUUCAGUGCUGAAGUCAAAUGAACAAGUGCUUUGUGGGCAGUGAUAUGGAACUGGGUCCUUCUCUGGACUCAGGCCAGGUAACAGGCUGUGUGAUUUCCACCCACCACCUUCCACUGCGCUGCACAUAGCUACUGGUUGGCUGUUUUCCCUGUCCAGACAAUCUUUGGUGUUGCUAGAAAGAUUGCCUGCAAACCUUAUCGCCAUCAUCACUUUUGGCAGUGGCAAUUUUGUGACAGAAAACUACCUGUUUGGAGUUUAAAGCAGCUCAUUUCCCAAAGAGGCUACCAAUGAACAGUUGGGUGUCUCUCCUUCAGCCACACUCAGUCUGGUCUGAAUUUCAACCAGGAACCAAGACACAACAGCUUCCUGUUCUCAACAGUACCUCACGGUGCCCUGUCCUGAUCAUUAAAAAUUAAAUCACCCUGUGAGUAAACACACAUGCUGUUUUUCAUAUGUAUGCAUCUGCAAAGUCCAUACCAGGACCUGGGAUGGAAAAGGUCUGGUGGGACCUUCCGCAUCAUAUUAUGUUAAAAAUUUGUGAAGCUCCAUCCUAAGCUUGCUCUCUCUAUUUCUCCCUUG